UGGGCUACGGGGGGCAGCAGUGAGGAAUAUUGGUCAAUGGGCGGAAGCCUGAACCAGCCAAGUCGCGUGAGGGAAGAAGGCCCUGCGGGUCGCAGACCUCUUUGGACGGGGAGCAAGGCCGCCGACGUGUCGGCGGAAGGAGAGUACCCGUAGAACAAGCAUCGGCUAACUCCGUGCCAGCAGCCGCGGUAAUACGGAGGAUGCGAGCGUUAUCCGGAUUUAUUGGGUUUAAAGGGUGCGCAGGCGGAAGAUCAAGUCAGCGGUAAAAUUGAGAGGCUCAACCUCUUCGAGCCGCUGAAACUGGU
rnacentral:rRNA from 1 species